rnacentral:rRNA from 1 species
CACCAGCGCCACGAGUGGCUAUCGCGAUUAUUGGGCCUAAAGCGUCCGUAGUCGGGGUGAUACAUCUUCUGUGAAAUCGCUGCGCUUAACGUAGCGGCAUGCGGAAGACACGGUCAUUCUUGAGACCGGGAGGCGUGAAGGGUAUUCCUGGGGGACCGGUAAAAUGGUAUAAUCCCAGGGGGACCACCUGUGGCGAAGGCGCUUCACGAGAACGGAUCUGACGAUGAGGGACGAAAGCCAGGGGAGCAAACCGG